AAUGGGCGCAAGCCUGAUGCAGCCAUGCCGCGUGUAUGAAGAAGGCCUUCGGGUUGUAAAGUACUUUCAGCAGUGAGGAAGGUGGUGUCGUUAAUACGCGGCAUCAUUUGACGUUAGCUGCAGAAGAAGCACCGGCUAACUCCCGUGCCAGCAGCCGCGGUAAUACGGAGGGUGCGAGCGUUAAUCGGAAUUACUGGGCGUAAAGCGCAUGCAGGUGGUUUGUUAAGUCAGAUGUGAAAGCCCGGGGCUCAACCUCGGAAUUGCAUUUGAAACUGGCAGACUAGAGUACUGUAGAGGGGGUAGAAUUUCAGGUGUAGCGGUGAAAUGCGUAGAGAUCUGAAGGAAUACCGGUGGCGAAGGCGGCCCCCUGGACAGAUACUGACACUCAGAUGCGAAAGCGUGGGGAGCAAACAGGAUUAGAUACCCUGGUAG
rnacentral:rRNA from 1 species